UUUUCCAUCCAAAUCCAUCCUAACGAACAAAGCCUACAAGUAUUUAUUUAAACGAACACCACCAGACCACCAGAAGACCACUUUUCUUUUCGUCAAUGUUACGAUGAUAUUCUUCCUCGGCGACCUCCUGCAUCGGCGAAGAACCUGCGUUUCCGGAGGAUGGAUUCAACCAUUAAACAAUGCACAUAAUUGCGGGAUGGAACAUCUUUAUGUCACGUUGAUCGGAUUAGCAGUUGACGUGAUGUGUUAUUUAAGUCAGAUAUACUCUUUUUGCUUCCAGCAAAAGAUGCUGUUGUUACGAGUACCCUUCCAAGAAGAUGGAUGGAUGUUUCAGCUUGAUAAUAAGUAUUGAUUUUGAACAUUUACCCAUUUCUGAUAGUUUAUGCUGUCCACAUGUAAGGGGAAGUUUUACUACUUUUAAGAUAUUUGUGGGUAAUGUAUUGCGGGGAUGCCAGUCCAAAAAUUGAACCAAGUUUAGGCUGAAACUCAGCAAAGGGGUCAAGGGCUUCUAUCAUAUAUGUGACAAAUUAUAUUUUCCCUUUAAUUCUACACUUGUCAAUAAAUGGAUCAAUUUUCCAUUAACCCAUGGGGUCAGGGAACUUACCUUUCCAUUCACGUUAGGCUAGGGAACCUGGUAAACUGCCUAAGGCACUUUUCUCUUGCAAAACUUUGGAGGUCUUGAAGCUUGAGAUAAACCUUGGAAGUUCCCAUGGUCUGUUUGCCUAACUUGAAAGUCUUGUACCUCAAUUCAGAUGAUGAGUUUAUAAGCAAGCUAGUUUCGAGUUGUCCAUCACUUGAAAGACCUGACUAUGAGAAACUGCUGUUCUGCAUCCAAGGACAUAGUAAUUUAUGCACCAUCUCUCUGAAGAUUGGUUAUUGAUAUCUAUCCAUCGACAACUCCCUAUGAUCAUGCUAGAAAAACUUUGGGGCCAUUCCGGAUGUAUUCACGAGGGGUAAUAUUGUGCUAAAUUGUCAAAAUUGCAAUAUUUGGAGUAUGCUGACAAUUUAGCAAUGCGGUUUGAAAUUGGACAUCUAAAUGCUCUUGAUGAAGCUCAUAUUAGUACGUCAACCACCUGCGGCGAGGAGACCAUAUUUCAGAACAUGUAUAGCCUUCUCAGACCACUGUCUAAUAUGCAACAUUCAUUUCUGGGUUCUCGCAGAUGGUAAAUCAAAGGAUAAGCUGCUGCCUCUCUUACUCAAUUUGAUAUAUUUGCAGCUUGUUUUCAGUUGCUUUAAUCACUGGCGUAAUAUGUUACUGGAGUUGCUUUGCUCACUUCUUUAGGAAGACUCUUUUCCAAGGGUCUACGUGCACAGUUUAACAUUGCGAGUAUUAAAGAAGGGAGGAAGUAUCUGCCUUUAGUAAAAAUAAAGGUUUUGGAAACAACAUUUUAAGAUUUUUAUUUCCUCAGCUCGAGUUUUGUAGGAGGGGGGGAUGAUGAGGAGAGAUUGGAGAUGGAUUUGGAAUCUCUCAUGUCCUACUAAAAUAAAAAUCUUCUUAUGGCAGUGCAUGUGGGGGAGAGUUGCUUGCAAUGAAAACAUUAAUAGAAUCAUGCCUCAUCACAGUAAAUAUUGUAGUUUUUGCCCUCAAAAAAUAGAAUCCAUGGACCAUAAUUUUGGGGGACUUUUCCUCAGCCCUCGUUUUCCAUCUAUGAGUGGAUUGAACUGGAAAUCUCGAAGCCAAACCCUCCUUACCCUUUGACACCUCCAAGUAUAUCCUUCGCGUUUACUCUUUGGCACCUUUGGAAGAGAAGAAAUGCUUGGGUAUUUAGAAAAUCCAACAUCCCUAUCCAAACCACAAAAAACUCAGUAAACUGGGCCUCUACCGAAUGGUUUUACUCCCAAAGCCAACCUAUGGUAAGCCCCUCCCCCUCAGCUACUUGGUCUCCUCCUCUCCUAGGCUCUCUUAAAGUUAUCUCUGAUGCUUGUUUUGCGAAAGAAUCCAUAGUGGCUACUUCGGCCGCAAUUUGCAGAGAUGCAACAGGUACAUGGCGGGGAGGGAUUACAAAAUCUUUCUAUGCAGACUCAGCACUAGAGGCCGAGUUAAGGGGGAGUUUAAAUGCACUAUCAUGGUGCAUUGAGGAGAAGUGAGAAAGUGUGAUAAUUGUUUCUGACUGUGCGAUGGCUGUAAAAGGUAUCAAUGACCCCCCCCCCCCAACAGGCCGUAAUUUAUUAUUGGAACUAAUGGGUGAAUGCAGGGUGUGCAUAGGGCGAAUACCAGGCGGUACAUUAGUCUCCAGAGAAGGAGUGCGAAUCAACUAGCUGAUGAAGCUGCGAAGUCCAUGAUGAAAUCCAAACCUGUUGUUAAUGCUUGUAUUUGGAACACCCCUCCCCUGGUUUGUUUGGGAACGUAUAAUAAGGAUCUAGAAAACACUAAACUUGCUGUGACACCUACUUUUGGUAGGGGUGGUGAACUUGUAAUUGUUUAAUCUAUCUAAGCAUUUUCUUUUUUAAAAAAAAACUACAUCACUCUGAAAAGCCUGAUUCUAUCAUUUUUUUUUUUGGAAAGGGUUGGUUUUAUUAUCUUUUUUUUUGAGAGUACGAAACAUGGGAUAUGAGGCAUAACUAGUAUCUGGGUCCGGACGUUGUUUCGGGUUGGUAUGUGUUUCCGAACUUGAUAUACAUUUUUUUUUUCCAUU